UUUAUUACCCUAGUGGUACGGCAGCUACUCGGAACUGGGCUCUGGAAAACGCCACACUCCCCAAAGAGAAGUGUCCGUUUUGUCCCAGUACAGGAGACCUAGAGAUAAGAAACCUCCCCGUGUCCCCUGAUUCCCUCUGUGCACCGAAUUCUUAGGCACUCUGCUUCCAUCUGUAAUCCCAAAUAGCCUGCGCCUUCCUCAUUUCCCGACCCUUGUGCGUUCGACUCCGACUCAGACACACGUGGGCUGUGCUCAGGUUUGGAAAGCCUGCCACCGUGUCGGUUUCAUUUCUGCGUGGAGAUGCGGGCAAGGGCCAUCAGAAGAGCAUUUAUGACGGGAAACGUAAGAAGGGCCAAUCUCGUAGCUCAAUUUAACGCAAUUAUUUGGGGUUUAGCUGACAUUUCCUCCGUUUCCCAAUGCCUUCUCCUCAAUCUGCUUUCUAAUGAAAACAUACUCAUUUAAAACUUCAUUUAGAGACUCAGGGAAAAUAGUUUGAAAUUCCUGCGUGGCGUUAUUAAAGUUCUGUACGUUUAAAAUAGUGAUUUUUGGUUUUCGGUGAGGUGACAGAAUGACUCUGGGCACGGUUUUGUUUUGCUUUGUUUUGUUUUUUCCCUUAAAUCCCUUCUGCUUCUCAGUUUCCUCACCAGUAAAAUGGAGAUAGUCAAAACACAUCAGUCAACGGCCUCUUGGAAGAAUGAAAUGUCUGUGCAUGUGAAAUGCAAGGACAGAGCAGUCACCUGGGAAACAGUCACACUGUUAUCUCAUAUCAGUAUCUUUAAAGAAGCAGGCACUUAUUGAAACCUAACAGUAGAUGAAAUUGAAAUAAAACUUGAUCAGCUUAACGACAUUUUCCUGUACUUCCUGGGCUGACCUCCUGUGAAGCAAACUGUCCCAGAAUAUUCAUGGAAAAGGGUACAUGUGCCCUAGGUAAGAGAUCUCUAAGGACCUCAAGACCUGAUGAAGAAGCUGGAAAUUCAGCAUCACACCUAAAAAUGUGGUGGGCUUUGAAAGCGGGUCUGGAAGGCAAGUAUGAAAUAUUGUAUUUGUUUCUUUCAGUGCCAGCCAGCUCUAUGCUUUUCCCAUCAUAAUAAGAUCAGAUUCUCUGAUGGGAUGACAGUGGUUGGCAUUUUAUAGGUUAGUGCCCUGAGAAAAUACCCAGUGUAGGGUUGCCAGAUUUAGCAAAAAAACAAAAAAUAAAAA